rnacentral:lncRNA from 1 species
CCCAAAACUCCUCAUCAUUUGAGUUUUUUUCGUGCCCUAAUUUCUCUUCCUCGAUUUUUUCUUCCAUCAUCGUAGCAUUUCAGUUUCUUUUUAUAGAAUUCCAUUCGUUCCAAAAGUAAUCAUUCAUUCCCGUCUUUCUUACUCUUAAGCUUCCCCUCAUAUGGCUAGAGUUAGGAUAGGUUCUAGAGGUGGAGUCAGUGGACAUGGUAGUUGGAAUCAAAGGGGCUAGGGUAGUGGGUCUACCACUAGUAGUGGCAAUGAGCCAUGAAAUCAAGAAGCCAAUACUUCAGUGGAAACCCCGUUCUUUAGAUGUACAACUCCCAGGAAGAGAUGAUCAGACACUUGGCCGCCAGGGGAAUUCUUCAACCCAACUUCGCUUAUGAUUUCGAAGUUGUAUAAGGGGAGUGUCGUUUGAGCGGUUGUAGUAAUGGCUUCAUUCUCCCUCUCUAUCUAUUGGAGGCAAAUCUUCACAUUCCACUAAACCCUUUCUUCUGUACUAUACUGAACGAAUAUGGAAUCGCACCCGGCCAUCUCAUGAGUCUAUCUUGGUGGACACUGGUGGCCUACUUCAUCAACAUGUUAGAAAAUGACUAAAAUACCAUUAUUUUACAAGGUAAAUUAUAUCAUUUUUGAGGUUGUUUUUAUCUUUUUAUAUUUUUUAUAUAAAAAUAGGAAAAUAUGCAC